GGUUGCUUCCGAUUUCUCAUUCGAUGCAGUAAAAAAAUCGAGAUUCUCUCUGCCUCUCUAGACACAACCCACGAACGAGAACGAACAAAGGGAAAUCAGCGCAUCUGCUUCUUCCGUCGACUUUAAUUCUGGCCUCCGGUUCGUCAUCUAUUUCAAGCAAUGACGUCGCAGUCCCCUUCCAAGCUUCAGUUCACGACUUCACGCCUUCGCAGUCGCAGUUCCAGCAACAUCAGAUAAAUUCGCAAAUUGGAAUGAAAACGAAGACCGGAACACCCUCUAAAAUCGCCUGUUCUUUCUAAAAUCCUUUGUUCUUUCUGCACCAUUAGGUAAACAAUGAUUUUUUAAAAUUGUUUGUUCUUUCUUCAUCUUUCUAAAAUCGUUUGUUGUUUCUUCAUCUUUUUUAAUUGUUGGUUGGAUUUAUGUCUUGGUUGUAACAGGUAAGGCAGAAGGGUAUUUGAUUCGAGUAAUUUCUUGACCAAAAUCUCUAAUUGUUUUGUGUAUGAAACCAUAUGCCCACCAAGUGUUCGAUCAAUUUCCUGAGUGAAGGGUAUUUUGAUUUGGGUAAUUUCUUGACUAAAAUUUCGGUCCCUUGAUCAUCUGUGAAGUUAUUAAGAACCAUGGAUUGAAGAUGUAGGUGGGUUGGUUCUAGUUCUCGGUUGUUUAUGGUGCGAUAGUGGUGGAGUGUGAUGGUGCAGAACAGAUGCAAACAGGAAGGUGGUCAAUGGACGUGUUUGGUGGUUGGAUCAAAAACGAAUGGAGCAGUUAGUGGUAUUUGGUUGUAUGUGUAUGUAGCAAAAACAUAGAUUGGAUUGCAGGUUAGUUCUUCAUCCCUCAAUUCUUGGUUUUAUGUGUGUAUGUGUAUGCAGCAAGAACACGGAUUAGUUUUGCAUAUGUCUGAAAUUGAAUAUCUUUAUCCAUUUUCCCAGCUCUAUUGAUCUCUCGAGCACCACACCAGAUGUUUUAAGCAGUGAGUUAUGUAAAAGGCUUAAAGGGUUUCUUGCAGCAUGGACUCCUUCAAGUCCCCAACCUCAUGUCAAUGAACUUCUUGUAGCAAAGGACUUUUUUUUAAUUAUAUAUAAUGCUAUAUUUAUUAAAACUUUAAUAUAUAUAUAUAUAUAUAUAUAUAUAUAUAUUAUUUAUAAUGUUAUAUU
rnacentral:lncRNA from 1 species